AUACUACCUAAUAAAUCUUGGAUUGAUUGGGGAGAGUGGGCUUGGAGUUUUAUAAGCUGUCAGCUGUGGUGUUAAGAUAGUUAAAUCGACCCAAUUCUAGAUCCGACCCACUUCUACCCCGGGUUCUCACAUACUCGCAUUCUGCUCCGGUAACUCGAAUAAACCUUGUGAUUGAUUGCAGGAGAGUUUGGCUCUACUCUCCGGAAUGGCGAAUCAGCAACCGCCAUCUCUACGGCCAUGGUUUCUCGAGGCAGUGCCAUUCAUCGUGCUUCUCCUAAUAGCAGCUCAUGUCCUCGCUUUGGUCUAUUGGAUAUACAGAUUAGCUACUGAGAAAGAGAAACAACCCCAGAGGAGAAAAGCACACUAAGCCACAGGUUUUGAUUUGCGAAAAAAAAAAAAAAAAAAUUGUUGAUUUCUUGUGGGAAGAAUGUUAAUUAAGUUUGAUUAUGAGCUAGUCGUCCUUUUUAUUUACUGCAGUUACUGGUUCGUGUACUAAUAGCUUAUGGAGUGCGACAAUUUACUUAAUUAAGAGAAUUAACAGACACAUUUGAGUGUUGUUAAUUUCUUGGGUUUUUUAUCUUCUACUCUUUUAAUAUUUCGAUUCAUAAUUUAUUUUCAAGUAA